UACGGAGGGGGCUAGCGUUGUUCGGAAUUACUGGGCGUAAAGCGCACGUAGGCGGCUUGGUAUGUCGGGUGUGAAAUCCCCGGGCUCAACCUGGGAACUGCAUCCGAAACUGCCUUGCUCGAGUAUGGGAGAGGGAAGUGGAAUUUCCGGUGUAGCGGUGAAAUGCGUAGAUAUCGGAAGGAACAUCAGUGGCGAAGGCGACUUCCUGGACCAAUACUGACGCUCAGGUGCGAAAGCGUGGGGAGCAAACAGG
rnacentral:rRNA from 1 species